GUGGAGUAGUAGCUCAGUAGUAGAGUGCUUGCCUAGCAUGUGUGAGGCACUGGGUUCGAUUCUCAGCACCACG
rnacentral:tRNA from 1 species